rnacentral:rRNA from 1 species
UACCAGCACCCCGAGUGGUCGGGACGAUUAUUGGGCCUAAAGCAUCCGUAGCCGGUUUUACAAGUCCCCCGUUAAAUCCAGCUGCUUAACAGAUGGCUGCGGAGGAUACUAUAAGACUAGGAGGCAGGAGAGGCAAGCGGUACUCAGUGGGUAGGGGUAAAAUCCGUUGAUCCAUUGAAGACCACCAGUGGCGAAGGCGGCU